rnacentral:rRNA from 1 species
AGUGAACGCUGGCGGUAGGCCUAACACAUGCAAGUCGAACGGCAGCACAGGAGAGCUUGCUCUCCGGGUGGCGAGUGGCGGACGGGUGAGGAAUACAGCGGAAUCUACUCUGUCGUGGGGGAUAACGUAGGGAAACUUACGCUAAUACCGCAUACGACCUACGGGUGAAAGCAGGGGACAUCCGGUCUUUUCGCGAUUGAAUGAGCCGCUGUCGGAUUAGCUAGCUGGCGGGGUAAAGGCCCACCAAGGCAGCGAUCCGUAGCUUGGUCUGAGAGGAUGAUCAGCCACACUGGAACUGAGACACGGUCCAGACUCCUACGGGAGGCAGCAGUGGGGAAUAUUGGACAAUGGGCGCAAGCCUGAUCCAGCCAUACCGCGUGGGUGAAGAAGGCCUUCGGGUUGUAAAGCCCUUUUGUUGGGAAAGAAAUCCAGCUGGCUAAUACCCGGUUGGGAUGACGGUACCCAAAGAAUAAGCACCGGCUAACUUCGUGCCAGCAGCCGCCGUAA